GACAGAGGAUGCAAGCGUUAUCCGGAAUGAUUGGGCGUAAAGCGUCUGUAGGUGGCUUUUUAAGUCUGCCGUCAAAUCCCAGGGCUUAACCCUGGACAGGCGGUGGAAACUACCAAGCUGGAGUACGGUAGGGGCAGGGGGAAUUUCCGGUGGAGCGGUGAAAUGCGUAGAGAUCGGAAAGAACACCGGUGGCGAAGGCGCUCUACUGGGCCAUAACUGACACUGAUGGACGAAAGCUAGGGGAGCGAAAGGG
rnacentral:rRNA from 1 species